UUUUAGCCCUGAUGGGAGUGAUAUCCUUUUUCUUGCUCCUUUAGCAAGGAAAAGAUAUAACGGACAGCAGGAAUUGCU
rnacentral:sRNA from 1 species